rnacentral:rRNA from 1 species
CAUGGUUGUCGUCAGCUCGUGUCGUGAGAUGUGGGUUAAGUCCCGCAACGAGCGCAACCCUAUUGCUAGUUACCAUCAUUAAGUUGGGGACUCUAGCGAGACUGCCAGUGAUAAACUGGAGGAAGGUGGGGAUGACGUCAAAUCAUCAUGCCCCUUAUGACCUGGGCUACAAACGUGAUACAAUGGCUGGAACAAAGGGAUGCGAAGCAGUGAUGUGGAGCGAAACCCAUAAAAACAGUCUCAGUUCGGAUUGAAGUCUGCAACUCGACUUCAUGAAGUCGGAAUCGCUAGUAAUCGCGGAUCAGAACGCCGCGGUGAAUACGUUCUCGGGGUUU